rnacentral:rRNA from 1 species
UACGUAGGGGGCGAGCGUUGUCCGGAUUCAUUGGGCGUAAAGAGCUCGUAGGCGGCUUAGCAAGUCGGGUGUGAAACCUCCAGGCUCAACCUGGAGCCGCCACUCGAUACUGCUAUGGCUAGAGUCCGGUAGGGGACCAUGGAAUUCCUGGUGUAGCGGUGAAAUGCGCAGAUAUCAGGAGGAACACCAGUGGCGAAGGCGGCUCUCUGGGACGGUACUGACGCUGAGACGCGAAAGCGUGGGGAGCGAACAGG